AGAAAACUGAAGGUCUGGCUCGAGGUUCCCCCUUCCCGAGCUUCAGCCAUGUUCCAGGCCUCCCAGCUCCUGGAGGACACGGAUGGGGCCUGCCAAGUCCAGCCAGGAAAGCACUGGGAAGAGCAAAGACCAUCAGGGCUGGAGCAGGUGGUGAAGAAAGCUCCGGGCUGAGAUCAUAAUAAUAAUAAUUGCAGAAGCUUCCACUUUUAGCACCUACUACAUAACUGGGACCAUGCCGAACACUGUUCCGGCAGGCACUGAGACUUUACGGGAAUCGGGAGUAGUUAGCACGGGAGUGGGGUCUCCCAUCCGCCCUUCCUCUCCCCGGCUGCUCAGCUCCAGGAUAAUUGUUGCAGGAGAAGCAAUCAGCUCAGCCUUCGACAAGUCAUCGAGACAGACAGUUCUUCUGACAAGUGGCCACUGCUGAGAUGACUAGAGGAGACAGAAUUGCUUUCACCAGCAGCUCCUGCCUUCUCUCCACCUCCCUUCCUUCCCUCCUUCCCUUCCUUCAGGAGCCUCCACCCCCCACUGCAAGGCCAGCCCCAGGGCGGUGCCCAGCAGACCCAGAGCAGCAUCUCUGAGGACCUGGGCGCCCGGCAGCUGAGUUCGGAAAAGAAAGAUCUGGAAAUAAGGCAGCAUGCAUCCCUUCACUCAAGCACGGCUGUGGGGCCUUGAGGAUGGGGCCGUGAAUCUCAGGCUCUGGACAUCCUCUCCCUCAUCCCUCACUCACUUCUUAUGUAAUUCAUUCAUUCCACAAACAUUGAUUGAGUACCUCCUGUGCACCAGGGCACUGUACCAAAGAUACAUAAAUGAACAAAACUGAUAAAAACCCUUGCCUUGGUGGAAUAGAGGGGAGACACAGGCCAUAGACAAUACAU
rnacentral:lncRNA from 1 species